CCAGGUUCAAGCGAUUCUUUUGGCUCAGCCUCCCAAGUAGCUGGGAUUACAGGUGCAUGGCACCAUGCCCAUCUAAUUUUUUGCAUUUUUAGUAGAGAUGGGGUUUGCCAUGUUGGCCAGGUUGGUCUGGAACUACCAUCCUCAAGUGAUCUGCCUGCCUCGGCCUCCCAAAUUGCUGGGAUCACAGGUGUGAGCCACCAUGCCUGGCCCCAGCUAAUUUUUAAAAAAUAUUUGAGUAGAGAUGGGGUCUCACUAUGUUGCCCUGGCUAAUGUCAAACUCCUGGCCUCAAGUGAACCUCCAGCCUCAGCCUACCAAAGUGCUGAGGUUACAGGUGUUAGCCACUGUGUCUGUUGUAAUUUACUGUUGAAUGCCCAAUAGCUGGAAUACAUGUGUCUGGGGUAUAAUGGAUGGGUUGUAGCAGACAUCAAUAAUUCCUUAAUUUGGGCCAGGCCCAGUGGCUCACGCCUGUAAUCCCAGCACUUUGGGGGGCCGAGGUGGGUAGAUCACAAGGUCAGCAGUUCAAGACCAGCCUGGCCAACAUGGUGAAACACUGUCUCUACUAAAAAUACAAAAAUUAGCCAGGCAUGGUGGCAGGCUCUUGUAAUCCCAGCUACUUGGGAGGCUGAGGCAGGAGAAUCGCUUGAACCCUCGAGGUGGAGGUUGCAGUGAGCUGAGACUGCAUCAUCAUACUCCAGCCUGGGUGACAGAGCGAGACUUAGUCUCAAAAAAAAAAAAAAUUCCUUAAUUUGUACCCCUUCAGCCUGACUUCACCCGAACUUCCAGUGGACAACUCCUGGCACGCUCACAGUGGUCCAUCUCAAGCACCUGUGUCUCUCUGCUUCUCUACCUGGGACCUUUCUCCAGUGCUGCAGAAGCUUGUCCAGUCCUGGGGCAGAGCGGCCCACAAGGACUAGGGACUUAGUGGCCCAGGGGCAGCCUAUGCCCAGCUUUCUCAUCCUUCUGUGGGACAAGUGGGAGGCAUGGGAGGCACCCUCCACAAGGUGCAUUAGAGGAUCUCCAGUGGGACUGAACGCCACGUCGCCCACAGUCAUAAUGAAGGAAACUCAGCUGGAAUUUCUCCCUUCCUUGUCACAUUUUCCUACUCCCUCCCUCAGAGCUGGAAUGAUGAUGAGUUGAGUCAGCACCGAGGGCGCAGCCCUGGGAGUCCCCUUUAAAUUUUGCACCGACUCACUUCACUUGCCUCAGGAGAGCCUAGUCCUGGCCCCAGCCUCAGCCAUGCUUCCUGGCACCACAGCACAAAUGAUCUGCACUCAACUCCUUUCUCAGGAUCUGCUAAGACAACUCAGCAAUUCCUCUUAUUGUUAUGGGUUAAGUAAGCUGUGUCCCCCAAAAAGACAGGUUGAAGUCCUAAACCCCAGCACAGAAUGUGGCCUUAUUUAGGAACAGAGUGGUUACAGGUGUAAUUAAUUAAGAUGGGGUCUCACUAGAGUAAGGCAGGCCUUUCAUCUAAUCUGACUAGUUUCCUCAUAAGAAGACAAUGUGAAGAUCCAAGAGACGAAUGCCAUGGGAAAAUGGAGGCACAGAAAGGAGUCAAGUAGAAGCAAGUACCCACAGUCUCAGAGGGAACAUAGUCCUGCUGACACCCUGACUUCAGACCUCCGUCAUCCAGAACCUCGAGAGAAUACGCUUCCAUUGUGUGAAGUCACCUUGGGGGUGGCACUUAGUUAUGGUAGCCCUAGGAAACUACACAAUCAUUUAUCCAACGGAAAAGCAUACAUAUAUGGGCCAAGAAACAUAGACACAAAUGUUCAUAGCAGCACUAUUCAUAAUUACAAAAACUGGAAACAACCCACACGUCCGCUGACAGUAGGACAAAUGAAAUUGUGAUCCGUCACUAUCACCCCACAGUGAAAAUGUAUGUGGAUGAAUGUUGAGUAAAUGUUGAGUGAAAACCGCCAGACACAAACUCAUGCCAAAUGUAUGAUUCCACGUCUAUAAAGUUCACAAUAGCCUUCAGGAGUGAGUGCAGGCUUAGAUCAUAGAAAUAUAAAGGAAAGCGAGAAGGGAGGGGCAGCAGUUGGGAGGGGUGGAAAGGUGCUUUUGGGUGCUGGCACAUGUCCUCCUUCUUGACUUGGGUGAUGCUACGGUCUGAGUUUUUUAUCCCUCCAAAAUUCAUAAAAUGAAACCUAAAUCCCAAUGUGUUAAUAUGAGGAAAUGGGCCCUUACGGGGUGAUUAGGUCAUGGGAAUCCACUGUCAUGAAUGAGAUUAGUGCCCUUAAAAAAGAAGCCACAGAGCUAGCUAGUACCUUCCACUGUGUGAGGACACAGAGCACAGAAGCCACCUAUGAACCAGAGAGUAAUCCUUCACCAGAUGCCGAGUCUGCUGGUGCCUUGAUUGUGGGCUUCCCAGCUUCCAGAUCUGGAAGAAAAAAUUUUCUGUUGUUUAAAAGCCACCCAGUUUAUGGUAUUUCUGUUAUAGCAUCCUUAACAGACCAAGACAGGUGGUGGUGACACAAGUGUUUGCUUUGUUGUAGAUCUUUGAGCUAUAUGUCUUUGUUUUGUGCACCAGAAGGUUUUUAGAAAGUAAACACGACCCCAGGCUGCCCACCUGGCCAUCAGUGAAAGCUGCAGUGCAGCUGAGAAUGCUGCCCUUGAGCACCGGCUUUGGCCUUCACCCCAUCACUAACUCACUGCUUGAAUUCUCAGCAGUAUGUCGGUUCCUGAAUGCAUAAAUCGAGGACGCUUUGUCCACCUUGACACUAACUGAUGUGUGAGCUUGGACAAGUUAAUGCCACUCCCCUGUCUUGCAGGAUUGAGGAAGGUGAUGCAUCACGUGUGCCAGAUGCCAUGAAACACUGACUCCAUCUUCUUCAUUCUCCCAGCUGUGAUUGCUUGCCUCUGCAGUCUCUGCAGGAGUCAGAGGAUGGAGCUGCAGAGCCUCUAAGGCCAGAAUUAGGCCCAACAGGGGAGGAUGCAGACAGGCACAUCAAGACCCCAUACAAAGGAAAACGUCCUAAGGGCCACAGGAAUAGGCUGCUUUAAUGGGAUACUGAGCGCCCUGUCACCACUGGAUUCACACAAAGGCUGGGGAACGACCUGACCGAAGCAGCGGACGAAUCCUCGCCCUGGGUGACAGGUGAGAAGUCUAUGGUCAAGGCGCCUGAACUCUGGGCAAGGACCUUCUUGCCACAUCAUCCCAUGGCAGAAGGCAGAAAGGUAAGAGAGCGAGAAAGGGGUGAGGCGACUGAACUCAUCCUUUUACAAGGGACCCACUUUUGCAAAAACUAACCCACAACCCACUCCUUCAAUAACAGCAUUAAGCUACUCGUGAGGGCAGAGCCAUCAUGACCUAAUCACCUCUCCAAGGUCCCACCUCCCAGCACUGUUGCCUUGGGGAUUGCAUUUCCAAUACACAGACUUUGAGGGACACAUUCAAACCAUAGCAGUUGCCCCAGAUCUUGCCAGGCUGGAAUUUAUUUCUGGCCUCCUGUCUAGUAAAGACCAAUGUAGUUUCCUGUGAUUGGAUUGCUGCUAGGGGACCUGGGUUUCAGUUUAGACAUUUCCAUGAACUUGCUGCAUUCCCUGUAGGGACUCAUUUCCCAUCUGUGGGCUCAUUUCCAUGAAGUUGCUGCAUUCCCUGUGGGGACUCACUUCCCAUCUGUGGGCUCAGGACAGUCAGGUGUGAAGCAAAGGCAACACAUCAGUGAGCCCUCCCUCACUGCUGACCCAUCCCCUUGCUUCCUUGACUUUUCUUUGCUCUGUAUCCCAAGUGAGCGCUGGACCUGCCUCAGGCACCACUGAGAUGCAGAAGCUUGGAGGGUUUUUUGGGUUCAGUUACAGUUUCUGAGCCUCUUGGCUGUGGUCACUUUUUCAGUGGAACACUUCUUCUUCCUUUUAUUUUUUAAGAGAAAGGGGCUAGGCAUGGUGGCUGACACCUGUAAUCCCAGCACUUUGGGAGGCCAAAGCGGGUGGAUCACCUGAGGUCAGGAGUUCGAGACUAGCCUGGCCAACGCAAUGAAACCCUGUCUGUACUAAAAAUAAAAAAAUUAAAAAAAAAAUUAGCUGGACAUGUUGGCAGCCACCUGUAAUUCCAGCUACUCAGGAGGCUGAGGCAGGAGAAUCAUUUGAACCUGGGAGGUGGAGGUUGCAGUGAGCUGAGAUCAUGCCACUGCACUCCAGCCUGGGUGACAAAGUGAGACUUUGUCUCAGAAAGAAAAGAAAAAGAGAAAGUUUCUCACUCUCUGUCACCCAGGCUUCAGUGCAAUGGCCCAAUCUCGGCUCACUGCAGCCUCAAAGUCCUGGGCUCAAGCCAUCCUCCCACCUCAGCCUCCCAAGGUGCUGGGAUUACAGGCAUGAACCUCUGGGCAAAGCUUUGUCAUUCUUCAUACUUUUCCAACAAGGAGCCCUGCAUUUUCAUCUGCACCGGGUCCUGCAGAUUAUUACGUAGUGGGUCCUGGUGUGGAUUCAUGUGCCUGGGUUCCGUGCCCAUUCAUUGAGCUGGGGUACGGGGAUCAUCAGCUACACCCAGACCACACGGACCCAGAAGCGGGGGGCAGGGUUGCUAAAGAAAAACUGAAGAGCGUUACCAGAAGCAAGAAUGGUUGUGGCGUCGGCAAAAUUGAAUACAUGUGCGUAUCGACACCGACGUGGGAUACGUUCUGAGUAGUUGAGGGAAGACCCAAAAUCAUGCCAUCGGAGCUCUUCCUGGAACCGCACCGCGGCAUGUGUGGCUCCAUGGAGGGCGUGACGCACCGUGCAGCAAUACUCGCAGCGUGGAGAGUUCCAGUCCCAAAAUGGCAGUGUCAGGCAAGCUGCUUCCAAUACCCCUCCCUCCGACAGCCAGAAACAAAUACCCAGCGCCCAGAUCCACACCAGCAGCAACCCAGAGCUCCAGUCUGAGGAUGAGACGGUUCCAGGGCCACAGAAAAGAGGAAAACCUCGGGCAGAUGGUGAAGGAAGGGAACCUCCGUGUUCAGGACACCUCCGCCCAUCCACAUUCGGCCUGGCACCGAUCCCGCGGAAUCUCUCCCCAACGCACGGUUUCUACACUGGAACGAUUGAAACUAAGGGGGUGCGCCAACUCCCCCACCUUCGCGGGUCCCCUGGCAGGAGACCUGGUCCUUGCCUUACCGCAGUAGGUGUGGCUGUGACUGAAGGGAGCGGCAUCCCUGAGCACAGUCGGAGACAAAGGGAGGCGAGGGCCAACCCCAGCCCGGAAACUCUGCCCUGUAACUCGGCCAAAGGAGACGCCGCAUUGGAGCGGCUGUUCCGCAGCACCAUGCUGUAGAAGGUACGUUCCUCUGAUGCCCUGGGCGCAAACCCCUAGCCAGCCUUCCCACACUGCCAGGAUAACCCUUUUGAAACCUCCCCUAUUUGGGACAGGCCGUGCUCCCACCUUUUACUGGAGACGAGGCGAACCUGGGCUUAGGGCGCCACCUAGAGCCAAAAAAGAGGAAGCGACCUGGCCGCGAAGCUUCGCUAGGCAAGGAUGUCCCACAGAAACCCAAACAAGCCAGACAGAGAAAACUGGAAUAAAUAAUCCUUCAUUGCAAAGACACGGGCGUAUAUCCACAAAAACACCAGCAAGCAGGAGACCAUGACCUACGCAAAAGGACAAAGCAAAAAUCCAGUGACUGGGCCUAACGACAUGGCGAUUGGUGAGCUCCCUGACCAAGAAUUCAAAAUAGCAGUUUUAAGGAAACUCAGUGAUCUCCGAGACAGCACACAAGCGCAUUUCAGAAACUUAUCAAAGUUAACAAAAUAUUAAAGUAAUUUUAAAAAUCAAGCAAAUCUUGAAACUGAGAAGUUCAUUUGCUCAAUCGCUGAAGUUCAUUUGCUGAUGAACUCGAUAGACUCUCAACAGCAGAGGGAACCAAACAGAGGAAAGUAUCAGUGAGCUUGAAGACUGGCUAUUUGAAAAUACAGCCAGAGGAAAAGAAAGGAAAAAAAUAACGGAAAGGAAUGAAGACCGCCAACAAGAUCUACAAAAGUAACUCAAAAGACCAAAUCUAAGAUCUACAAAAGUAACUCAAAAGACCAAAUCUAAGAAUUGUUGGUGUUCAAGAGGGAGCUGAGGCCGAGCAUGUGGCUCAUGCCUGCAAUCCCAGCACUUUGGGAGGCAGAGGUGGGAGGACUGCUUGAGGCCAGGAGUUCGAGACCAGCCUGGACAACAUAGCGAGACCUCGUCUCUACUAAACAUUAAAAAAAUAUUAGCUGGGCACAGUGAUGUGCACCUGUAGUCCCAGCUACUCAGGAGGCUGAGGCUGGAAGAUCGCUUGAGCCUGAGAGAUGAAGGUUGCAGUGAGCCGUGAUCGUGCCACUGCACUCCAGCAUGCAUGACAGAGUGAGACCCUGUCUCAAAAAAAAAAAAAAAACAAAACCAAAACAGUGGGAGCUGAGCAAGAGCAAGGGGUAGAAAGCUUAUUCGAAGAACUAAUAACAUAGUAAUACCCAACCUGUGCAACACUCCUUUCCUGUGCCAGGCACUGUGCUAAGCAAUUAACAUGUACUAUCUCAUUUAAUCCUCUCAGCGACUCUAUGGCGAGAGUAUUAUUAAUGGUGCUUCAUGAAAGGAAAAACUCAAGGAAAUAUCUCUUCUUCCUAUAGCGUGAGAGCCAGCUAAGGAGUGCAAGCCCCCCCCCAACCAUGGGGUGAGAAGUGUCCCCUCUGUUCUCCCAGCAGUCCUGUGCUUCCCUGUUACAGAGUGCCCCCCAAUCUGCUGUGGUAGCUGUGGCCCUGCAUCUCUUCCACAUGAAAUGAGAGCUGGAGGCAUGGCUCACUCCAUGAUACAGAUCUAGUCCCUAGAACAGAACUAGUCUCCUAUGGGGAAAUGCAAUAAGGACAGCGAACAAAGAAAGAGAGAGGUAGAAGGAAGCUCAGAAGUUUAAAGGACUCAGUCUGGCAGAAAAAGAAAGAGGGGUUGAGGAGGGAGUGAGAUGAAGGGAAGUUGAGUGCAAGGAAGUUCAGAGGGGGAACUCUACAGAAUGCGCAUGGAAAAUAAAGUUAAUCAGCAAGGAUGGAAAGAUAUCUUAAACGUCGACACCAACAGAAAAAAGACCUAAGUGUAUAUCAAAUUGAACUUUAAUAAUUUAGUGGAAUAUAAUUUUAAUGGAAUAUAAUCUUGUGCUUUGCUUUGUAGAUGUGUUGAUGGUCGUGGUAUUGAUGUAGUAAUUCCAGCACUAUUUGUGACUAAGGAAUGUUAAAGCAAAUAUAUUGUUUGGGGGAAUAAUAAUUCUCAUUCACUAAGAGAGAAGGGAGAAAACAUAUGGAAUGAGAACAAAGGAAGAACACCACAUUGCUGUAUUAAAUUAAAGAUUACCAGUAAGACCUCCCUCUUGCUCCAGAAAGAUAGAUAGACAGAGGAUAGCUAUAAAUCUGUUCCCUGAAAGAGCAUAGAAGCAAUGAUAUUAUAGUACAAAUGAUCGCAGCCACCACACCAUGAUUUCUAAAUGCCAUUCUCUAAUUUUAAAAACCUGAACUUCUUAGAGAAGUGGCCGAUUCCAGGUAUUUGACAGAAAAAUUACAAGGCAAGCCUGAACAUCUUGUAUCAGAAAACAUGGAGGUGCUAAAAACAAACAAACAAAAACAGUGGAGAACACCAGAUCCAGCUUAAAGGGGCAUCCCUGGCCAGAUCUGAAAGACCUGAGCAUCAACAAGAGCAACGGUGGCUACGUAUCAUAAGAUAAUUGAAUAAAACAAAAACCUGUGAGUCAUUGUGACAAGUAAAGGCUAAAGGUGCUACCAUGCCAAACCAUACUGCUCAGCUACAGGCCACUUUCUUUUGCCAGGCAGGCAUAAAGAGGACCAUUUGAAAAGAGUUGGCGAGAUGAAGGAAAGGCACGGUACAGGCCUGCAUAAUAUUACAGAGAUUUCAUUAUGAGAGAGGAGGUAUUACCAAAUGAGAACAUAUUUCUCUUCCUUAUUAUGGGUUAGACAAGGGCUUAAAAACUGGUGGCUUAAUGUCCUGCUAUGACUCACAGAUAUUUUUACUCACAAACUUCUUUAAUUGGGAAAUUGCACUUAAAUUCCAGAUUUCUGGAUUGUCUUAAAAACCAGGCAAUCUAGUCUUCAUUUCAACCUGAAAACAGUCAGCUAACAUGAGCAGAAAUUGUCCUAUUCAGUAGGGCCUGCAUCCUUGGGCUCAUCAGAGCUCCCAGUAGUACAGGCUCCCUUCACUGAUUGUUGUCACCUGUCUGGCCCCUGGAGACAUUAUCCUUUAUGACCACUAGUUUGUUUAUGUUUCUGACUUAUGAGCUAUAAAACUGGAAUGACCACUAGUUUAAACUUCACUGCCUCUGAGGAUUAGUGUCUGUCAUUAGGAUAGAGGUGUGUGUGUGUGUGUGUGUAUGUGUGUGCUUGAUGAAAUUUGAUUCAACAUCUGCUAACAAGACAGUUGGGAGAAUGAAGAGAUGAACUCCCACUUGUGAAGACUAGAUUUGGAAGCACUCUUCCUGGACUUCACUGGAGAAUUUAGGACAUUAGGCCAGGUGCGGUGGCUCACGCCUAUAAUCCCAGCACUUUGAGAGGCCAAGGCAGGUGGAUCACUUGAGAUCAGGAGUUUAAGACCAGCCUGGCCAACAUGAUGAAAACCCGUCUCUACUAAAAAUACAAAAAUUAGCCAAGUGUGGUGGCACACGCCCGUAAUCCCAGCUACACAGGAGGCUGAGACAGGAAAAUAGCUUGAACCCAGGAGGCAGAAGUUGCUGCGAGCCGAGAUCACACCACCGCACUCCAGCCUGGGUGAUAGAGCGAGACUCUAUCUGAAAAAAACAAAGAAUUUGGGACAUCAAAAGUCUCCCUGGACUCGGAGCACCCAGCCACCUCACUUGUCAUGUGGACACCUCUUCUUUACCUUCCAUUCCAUGUGAGCUUGGGUGGGGGUAAUAAUUGAAACAGGAGGGGAAGGAGAUACAACUGGAAGUAGAAUGUUCCCUAGGGGAAAGGGGUCAAGUUUUCCAAAAAGUUGAUGGAAGGCUUCAAGCCAGUUAAUGCCUUAAGAAGGCUCUUUUGGAAGGGGGCCAAAUGAUGGGAUGGGUUUGAGGAGCAAAAUUGGCUAAUUGCUUAAAGAAUUUAUCUUAGAUGUCUCGGAAGAGGCAUCUGGUGGUUGUUUACACAACAGCCACCCUACCCUUCUGAGUAAGAGUACCCCAGGUUUGUUCAAGCAUCAGUGUGCCCAGCGACAGAGAAUAAACCAUGAUUGGUCUGAUUA